rnacentral:rRNA from 1 species
AGCAGCCGCGGUAAUUCCAGCUCCAAUAGCGUAUAUUAAAGUUGUUGCAGUUAAAAAGCUCGUAGUUGAAUUUCGGGGUUAGUAGGUUGGUCGUGCCACUGGUACGUACUGGUCUCACUGAUUCCUCCUUCCUGAUGAACUGUAAUGCCAUUAAUUUGGUGUUGCAGGGAAACUGGACUGUUACUUUGAAAAAAUUAGAGUGUUUAAAGCAAGCUAACGCUUGAAUACAUUAGCAUGGAAUAAUGAAAUAGGACGUUCGAUCCUAUUUUGUUGGUUUCUAGGAUUGACGUAAUGAUUAAUAGGGAUAGUUGGGGGCAUUAGUAUUCAAUUGUCAGAGGUGAAAUUCUUGGAUUUAUUGAAGACUAACUACUGCGAAAGCAUUUGCCAAGGAUGUUUUCAUUAAUCAAGAACAAAAGUUAGGGGGUCGAAGACGAUCAGAUACCGUCGUAGUCUUAACCAUAAACUAUGCCGACUAGGGAUCGGAUGAUGUUAAUUUUUUCAAUGACUCAUUCGGCGCCUU